GACGAACGCUGGCGGCGUGCUUAACACAUGCAAGUCGAGCGGUAAGGCCUUUCGGGGUACCCGAGCGGCGAACGGGUGAGUAACACGUGGGUGAUCUGCCCUGCACUUCGGGAUAAGCCUGGGAAACUGGGUCUAAUACCGGAUAUGACCUCCUAUCGCAUGGUGGGUGGUGGAAGGAUUUAUCGGUGCAGGAUGGGCCCGCGGCCUAUCAGCUUGUUGGUGGGGUAAUGGCCUACCAAGGCGACGACGGGUAGCCGACCUGAGAGGGUGACCGGCCACACUGGGACUGAGACACGGCCCAGACUCCUACGGGAGGCAGCAGUGGGGAAUAUUGCACAAUGGGCGAAAGCCUGAUGCAGCGACGCCGCGUGAGGGAUGGCGGCCUUCGGGUUGUAAACCUCUUUCAGCAGGGACGAAGCGCAAGUGACGGUACCUGCAGAAGAAGCACCGGCUAACUACGUG
rnacentral:rRNA from 1 species